rnacentral:lncRNA from 1 species
ACAACAAAUCAACGCUUUCCAAAUGGUGAAAGAUUUAGGAUUGGCAGUAGAAAUUAAAAUUGAUUAUAAUAAGGAUAACAACUAUAUUGUAAAUGCUCAUGAGAUUGAAAAUGGAUUAAAGAAUUUGAUGAGCAUUAAUAGUGAAGUGAGGAAGAAAAUGAAUGAAAUGCAACAAAUAAGUAGAAGAGUUAUAAUAGAUGGUGGAUCAUCGCACUCUUUUUUAGGUCAUUUUAUUGAAAAUGUAAUGACUAAUAUUCCAUAACUUAAUGUAUCAUAUCGUUAUUUUAUCAUAUGCUUUUAUUUCAAUGUUGAUGUAAUUUCUUUGAUUUCGAAAUCUAUAAGAAAGUUUGUUAUCAUGGGAAAAUUGUGUUUUGGGUCCAAAAAUUAAUGUAUGGUCCAUAUAAGUUUCAUAUUUAAGCCCAACACCCGAUGAAAGAGUGGAAAUUGAGAGUAAGGAUAUUAUCUUUAAAAAAUCCCUAAAACGUCCUUGACUAUUAAAUGAAAAAAGUAACCACUCACUUCACAUUUCUCAUUCUCUAUUUGACUCUUUUACCCUUCUCUCACCUAUUUAAUAGUGGAACCAACUUGAAUUAUUUUUCUUCCUCAAAUAUGAAAGAUGGUUAAAAAUUAUUAUUAUCAAAUAUAUUUUUGAAGUGAAUAACUUUUAAAUACCUCAUCAAAUAUUAUUAUUAUUUUUUCAAACUUACAUAAUAUAUAAUAAAUAUUUUGUAAAUAUAUUGAAAACUUACAUAAUAUAUAGUAAAUAUCAUUAUUUAUUUUAAACUUAUAUUAUUUCUCAUAUAUAUAUUAAAUAAUUUUUAAACACCUCAUAAAAUAUUUGUAUUAUUUGUUUACUCCAACUUGUAAAUUAGAUAUCAUCAAAUAUUAUAUUUUUUUUAAAUUUAUAGAACAUAUAAUAAAUACUUUUUAAAUACCUCAUAAAUAUUUUUUUUUUCUAACUUGCAAAUUAGACACAUGGUGUUUAUUAUUUUUUCAAAAAUUAUGUAAACACUCACAUGCAUAUAUAUAAUAUUAAUCAAGAAGACAAUAUUUUUAAGACUAAUUUACCAACCUUCCAAUAAUUUUGAAAGUGUAAAUAGGGUAAUUGGUCGAAUUAAAGUCUUCAAAAAUAUUCAAAAUUUCUCCAUUCCAAAAUUACCUAAUUGCUCUCCACACUAAUCCUAAAUAUUUUUUAAUAAAUAUUUAAAUAUUUAAAACCAUUAAAUAAAUACUUUCUUAUUAAAGCAAUUUUUUCAAAGUAAUAUGAUAAAAAUCAUGAAAUCUUCAAAACUAUAAUUACAACAAAUAUUUUUAAUUUUAAAACUAAUUUCAUAAUUUAAAUUAAUGAUUUAAAAAAAUAAAAAUAUUAUAAAAAUAAUUUUUAUUUAUUUAUAAUUCCAUUUAAAUAUGAUUUUUUUAAUCUCUAUUGAUAACAAUGAAAUUAUGUUUAUAAAGGCAAAAUAGUAAAAAUAUAUAUUUCAUUUAGUUUACUUAUAAUGAACAAUUCUAACAUAAUUUAUUUUAAUUUUAUUUCCUAUGUGUUAAUUUUUGUAGGGAAUGUCUUAAUGACAUAGUUUGGUAAAAGAAGAAAAAAAAACUAUCAAUAGUCGUCUUAAUGUAAAAUUCAAGUUAUUUAAAAAUUGUAUAAAAUCUAUUACGAGCCUUGUACACCCUUGUACACUUAGCACAUUUCUCUUGUACAGUUAGUGUAAUACCCUUGUACAAUGACACAAAUUUCAUAUUUCUCAUAAGUUAUAUGUUCAUGUAGUAUAUUAAUAAUAUUUUCAAUGGUUUGGUUAAGAAAAUGAUGGAUGACUUAGGAUCAACUUUUUUUUUUCCCAAAUAUCAUUAUUAGGGAAAAUAUUAAAAUUUUCAUGUGAGAGUUAAAUAAAAUGCAUGACAUAGACGUACAAUCCUUGGGUGACAAGGAAAAUAAAAAAGUGGUUUAGAAUUGAUUAAAUUAUUUCACAAAGGGUAAUCUUGUACACUUUUGUAUAAUUAGUACAUUUCUCGUUAGUGUAAUACCCUUGUACAAUGACACAAAUUUUAUAUCCCUUUUAAGUUAUGUAUCCACAUAAGAGUGUUUAACUAUAUUUCCAAUGAUUUAGUUGAGAAGAUGGUAGAUGAUUUAAGGUCAAAAUUUUUUUUCUCCAAAUAUUAUUAUUAGGAAAAAUAUUGGAAUUUCCAUGCAGAAAUUAAAUAAAGUGCAUGACAUAUGUGUACAAUUCGUGAGUGAUAAAAAAAAAAAAGGAAUGACUCAUAAUCGAUUAUAAUAUUUCACAAAUGGUAGCCUUAUACAUCUUUGUACACCUAGUACAUUUCCCUUGUACAGUUAGUGUAAUACAAUUGUACAGUGAUGCAAUAAAUGAAUAAAUAAAAUUUAUUAUUUUUUUAUUUUCAUAUAAAAAAAUAGUAUUAAACAAGGUUUUCAAUUUUCAUUUUAAAAAAUACUUUUCAUUUUUUAAUUAAAAAUAUUUUCAAAAAGAGACAAUAUAGAAAAUAAAAAUUAUUUUUAAAAAUAAAAAAUAAAAACUAGAAAAAUAUUUUAAAACCAAACUCAAAUAUAAUCUAUAUAAUUUUUAACUACUUGUUUUCAUCUAAAAUAAGUAAAUAUACCUUUCAACAAUUUUAUAUAAGAAAAAUUCAAUCUCUAUUAUGUAUUGAUAUAAUCCACUUCUAAAAUUAUGUCAUAUGAAAACAUUUUAAUUGAGUACUUAAAAUAAAAACUUUCCAUCCAUCCUCUUUCUUUCUUUUUCUUUUUCUCAUUUUAAUAAAUUUUCAAUUAAUUUAAAUCAUUAAAAUAAAUUCUUAAUAAACAAAUUUGUAAUAUUUCAUAUAACUUAUUACUAAAAGUCAUGUUCAAAAAGUUAUUAAAAUAAGGAAGAAAGAAGAUUAAAAAAAAUUAAAUUUUUUAUUUUAUAAUAGUAAAAAAAAAUUUUAAAAUACUUUUUAAUAUAAAAAAAUAAAAUAGUGAAUAUAUUUAUUUUAAAUAGUAUUUUAAUCAUUAAAUUAUUUACUUCUAAAAUAUAAAAGAUAAAAAUAAAUAUAAAAUGUAAUUUUUAUUUAUUUAAAUUAAUAUUUUUUAGAAAGUAUUUUCCAAAAUAGUCUUUGAAUCAUUAAUAUAAUUUUUGUUUAUUUAUAAUUUAAAAAUAAAAAAAUAAUGUUGAUUUUUCAAUUAUUUAUAAAAGAGUUUAAAAAAAUAAUGAAAAAUCUAAAAAUGGUUAAAUAAGAAAGAAUAGUGACAUGUGAAGGGUGGUAGAAUAAAGACAAAAAUGAGUCAAAUGGGGUAUUUUUGUCUAUUCCUAUCUUAUAUCCUUGUGAUCAAUUAUGGGUGUUUGAUGGACUCUUUAUUAAUUAUCAAAACUAAAUGGGUCUAAAGCCCAAUUCUGCCUUUUAUCAUUUAGUGAAGAAAAUUUAAAAUGAUAUAAAUUUAAUCAUAUGUAGAUCUCAGUUGUUAAUGAAUGCACAAUUGAUAAUCUUCCAUAUAGGGAGUUAAGUUAAUAAUAAAAUGAACAAUAUAAUUAACAAUCAACAAAGCUAUUAAAAUUGUUUUAUUAAGGUCAAUAGUAAUAGUACCAUUGGGAAUUUGAUGGUCCAAUUUGAGCUUGGACUCCUAAAAAGUCUAUUUUAUUAUAGUAAGUACUAGAAUUAUUCCUCAUUAUAUUAAUUUAAUUAAUCUAUUCUUAAAUUUAGAUUGAGUUAGUAAAUUUCCCAUUUACUUAAAAUUAUUAACUUCAAAACUUGAUUCUAAAAAUAUACCAAUUUGAUUUCAUUAAACCAAGAGUUUAUUUUAUUUAUUAAUUUAAAACUAAACAUUUUAUCAUACCAUCUCAUUACUCUUUUCUUUUCUUUUUUCUUUUUAAUAAAUACUCAUUGAUAGCAUCAAAUCCAACAUUUAAACAUCACUGUAACUUUCUUUUAUUAUUUUAUAAGAAAAUUUAUUCUCUUUUUAUCAUUUAAUGAAAAAAGUUUAAAAUGACAUAAAUUUAAUCAUAUGCAAAAUUUGAUUGUUAAUGAAUGCACAAUUGAUUAUGGAGUUAAGUUAAUAAUAAAAUAAAUAAUAUAAUUAACAAUCAAUAAAGCUAUUAAAAUUGUUUUAUUAAGGUCAAUAGUAAUAGUACCAUUGAGAAUUUGAUGGUCUAAUUUGAGCUUGGACACCUAAAAGUCUAUUUUAUUAUAGUAAGUACUAGAAUUUGUUCAAUUGGGUCUAAGGUUGGAAAGAGAAAUGUCCAAGAUGAUCAUUAAUUUUGUAACAUACAUAGUUAAGUAAUAAUUAAUAGGAAAUGACUUUUUCAAGACCUAUUAAAUUAAAAUUAAAAUUCAAAAAAAAAAAAAAGUUGGGUGAAUAAACAAAAUAAUAAUUUAAAAAAAAACUUUUAUUAAAAAAAAUGAGGAGUUCACGUGCUUUCAAAAACUGAAAUUCCAUGUAAUAAAAAUGCUUUUAACUUCAAAAUUUUAAUCUAUUGUUUUUUUAAAGGGAAAAUUUUCCUAUUUAUAUAAGAAUUUUUAGUAAUUUUUUAGUUUAAUUAUGUAGGACAUGGACCUUAAGCAAACUUUUCGGGUCAUAUUAUUUUAUUAUUUUUCCCCGUUAUGUUUUCUUUUCAAAUAGGAGUUGACAUAAAUACCCUUCUCUACAUACACUAUGAAGUGAUCAGACUGCCCUCAAUUGUCAUCAAAAUUUCAUGUAUUUACCUCUUGUCAUGUAGUGUCCAAUUCUUCACAUCCUCAUAUGUGACAUUCGACAACCAUGUGGUGCUUGUAAUAUAUUCCCAAUAAUUCUUUAUAUCUCUAUGCAUGAUAUUUGAUAACUUCAAAGUGUGACAUGUGACACUUCUAGUGCAUCCCUAAAUUUAUACUUAUAGUUUAGUUAAUGUAAUUCUUUUCUAGCCCAUUUGCAUAGUGUUGAGAUUAUUCAACUUUUCUAAUUAUUUUAAAUUAUUAGGAAUUUAAUUAUUUUACUAAUGUUUUACUUUCUCUAAUUAUUUUUAAUCUAAUUGGAUUUUUUAUUGUUUUAUUUAUUUUACUAAGGUUUUACUUUCUCUAAUUAUUUUAAAUUAAAUUGGAUUUUUAAUUAUUUAAUUUAUUUAUUUUCAAAAAUUGAAAAAAAAAUUCUUAUCUAAAAAUCCAAGAUGUUAAUCAAUGUAGCGAAAAAAAAAGUAAAAGAAAUUUUAUAUAAUUCCAAAUAACAUAUAAUUUUAAUUUGUUUUUUUUUUCACGAAAUCAAUACUAAUUCCCCUAACCUCAAAGAAACACACAAAUUUUAAGAAAAAAUUACUGUUAAAAGACUUAAUCCUCACCUAACAUAAUAUAUAUAUAACCAUUACUACUAAUUAUUAGUUAAAAUUAUAAUUUGAUAUUCCUAAAAAUUGGAUAUAUCAUUAUUAUUAUUAUUAUUAUUAUUCCUCAUUAUAUUAAUUUAAUUAAUCUAUUCUUAAAUUUAGAUUGAGUUAGUAAAUUUCCCAUUUACUUAAAAUUAUUAACUUCAAAACUUGAUUCUAAAAAUAUACCAAUUUGAUUUCAUUAAACCAAGAGUUUAUUUUAUUUAUUAAUUUAAAACUAAACAUUUUAUCAUACCAUCUCAUUACUCUUUUCUUUUCUUUUAUCUUUUUAAUAAAUACUCAUUGAUAGCAUCAAAUCCAACAAUUAAACAUCACUAUAACUUUCUUUUAUUAUUUUAUAAGAAAGUUUAUUCUCUUUUUAUUAUUUAAUGAAGAAAGUUUAAAAGGAUAUAAAUUUAAUUAUAUGCAAAUUUCGAUUGUUAAUGAAUGCACAAUUGAUUAUCUUCGUGUAAGGAGUUAAAAUAAAUAAUAUAAUUAAUAAUUAACAAAACUAUUAAAAUUGUUUUAUUAAGGUGAUAUUAAUAGUACAAUUGGGAAUUUUAAGAUCCAAUUUGAACUUGGACUCCUAAAAGUCUAUUUUAUUAUAAUAAGUACUAGAAUUUGUUCACUAGGGUCACUAUUAACGUUGGAAAGAGAAAUGUCCAAGAUGGUCAUUAAUUGUGUAACAUACAUAAUAAUAUAAUAAUUAAUAGGGAAUGACUCUUUCAAGACCUAUUAAAUUAAAAAAAAAAUCAAAAAAUCAAAAAAAAAAAAACAAAUUAAAUAAUAACUUUGAAUAAACAAAAUAAUAAUUUUUAUAUAAAUAUAAAAAAAAAGUUAUUAAAAAAAAAUGAGGAUGUCAGUUGCUUUCAAAAACUGAAAUUCCAUGUAAUAAAAAGCUUUUAACUUGAAAUUUUUAACCUAUUUUUUGUUUGGUUGUAAAUUUUUCCUAUUUAUAUAAGAAUUUUUUAGUUUAAUUUUGUAGAACAUUAACCUUAAGCCAACUCUUUGGUUCACAUUAUGAAGUGACAUAAAUACCCUUUCAAAUAGGAGUUGACAUAAAUACCCUUCCCUACAUUAUGAAGUGAUCAAACUACCCUUAAUUGUCAUCAAAAUUUUAGGUAUUUACCUCUUGUCAUGUAGUGUCCAAUUUUUCAUAUCCUCACAUGUGACAUUCGGCGACCAUGUGGUGCUUCUAAUAUAUUCCCACUAUUCUUUAUAUCUCUAUGCAUGACAUUUGACUACUCCAAAGUGUGACAUGUGAGCUUCUAGUAUAUCCCUAAAUUAAUACUUAUAGUUUAGUUGAUGUAAUUAUUUUCUAGUCCAUUUGCAUAGUUUUGAGGUUAUUCAACUUUUCAAUUAUUUUAAAUUAUGGGGAAUUUAAUUAUUUUACUAAUGUUUUACUUUCUCUAAUUAUUUAAAUUUAAUUGGAUUUUUAACUAUUUUAUUUGUUUUACUAAGGUUUUACUUUCUCUAAUUAUUUAUAAUUUAAUUGAAAUUUUAAUUAUUUAAUUUAUUUAUUUUCAAAAUUAAAAAAAAAAAUCUUAUCUAAAAAUCCAAGAUGCACAAUCAAUGUAGAGAAAAAAAAAAGUAAAAGAAAUUUUAUAUAAUUCCAAAUAACAUAUAAUUUUUUUUCAUGAAAAUCAAUACUAAUUCCCCUGCACAAAUUUUUUUAAAAAAUUAUUGUUAAAGAACUUAAUCAUCACCUAACAUAAUAUAAUAAAAAAAAUAACCAUUACUAUUAAUUAUUUAGCUAAAAUUAUAAUUUGAUAUUCCUAAAAAUUGUAUAUAUCAUUAUUAUUAUUAUAUUAAUUUAAUUAAUCUAUUCUUAAAUUUAGGUUGAGUUGGUAAAUGUCCCAUUCGUGUUUAGGUUUAAGUCCACCUGUUGAUCUUCCUUCAGCAUCAAGUAUUAAUGGUGGGCUUCAACCAUAUUCAAUUGAGUCUCAUACCCUUUGAGUUGACAACCCUUUCUUUGGCUUAAAUCAAAGAUUGGUGUCUAUGUUAGGAGCACCAUCUUGUGGGGGCGUAAUAGUGCAGAAUCUCAUCCCUAUAAUCUUAUAGAUUCACAUCCCGAUAUUAAAGCCUCACCAACUCAAUCAAGAUCUCCAAAUGGAUGAAAUUCUACAAUAAUCAAUGACCAAUUACUCGGGUAAACUAUAAAUCAUUUAGCCAUAAGUUAUGACAUCAUUUUUAUAGCUUUCUGUACAUAAUAUUCAUGUUUUGUAUUUAUAUAGUGUAUUGACUAUAAAUGAAUACAAGCUUUCACAUUAGUAUUAUGUAUUUAUUAUUUUUUUUGUUAACCCCAAAUGUAUAAUUUUAUUAUAAGUGUAUAAUAUUCAUACUCUGUAUUUAUAUAGUGUAUUGAUUGUAAAUGAAUUCAAGCUUUCUCAUCAAUAAUAUUUUUUUCUAUUAGCCCCAAAUGUAUAAUUUUGUUGUUUGUUUUAUAUGAAAAUGGUAGAAAUCUAGAACCACUCACUCUUGCCUCGAUCUUCAACAAAGGCCAACAACAAAUUAUACAAAAGCGACGAGUACCAGCUAUAACAACAUUUAUAUUAAUAUAAAAAACUUUUAUUAAAAAAAAAUGAGGACCUCACAUGAUUUCAAAAUAUGAAAUUCCAAGUAAUGAAAAGAUAAUUUUUUCUUAUUUAUAUAAGAAUUUUUGGUAAUUUUUUAGUUUAAUUUUGUGGAACAUGAAGCUUGAACAAACUCUUCAAGUCACAUUAUUUUAUUAUGUUUCCUUUUUUAUGUUUCUUUUUCAAAUAUUAAUUAAUGUAAAUAUCCUUCUAUACAUUAUGAAGUGAUCGAACUAAUGAAUUUUCGUUUGCAGCAUCAAAUUCUCCACUAGGAUUCAAACAUCACUAAAAUACUUAAUGUCAUCACAUGUUUUUCAACACCUCCAUCAUACACUAUAACACCCCAAAUUAAUUUUUAAGGUUAGAAACGCAAAUUAGAAAUACAAAAAAUAAGUAAAUAAAUAAAUAGUUUUAAUAAGAGUAGAAAGUUCUUUUUGUAUUUAAAAACCCUAUAAAUUAUAUUUUUCUUGUCAUCUCUUUACAUAAACCCUUUGUGCAUAGAGAUCAGAGAAAUUAGGGAACGUAGGGUUGAAGAUUUAGGGAUUUAGGGUUUGAAUAUUAGUUUUUUGGAUAAGAUUUUUAACCUUGAGAUUAGCAUUUUAUAUUAAUUAAUUAAUUAAUUUUGAAUAUUUUUUUAAAAAAAUUGAAAAAUAUCAAUAUAGAUUAGGGUUUCUUAUUUAAUUUUUUUUUUUUAGAUAAAAAAGAUUGGGAAUUUAUGAACAUAGGUAGAUUUAUUGAUGAAGAAUAACAUGUCCCUAAUUUAGUACCAUAAGAAAGUCAACUAUGAAGGACAUAUUGUUCUCUAUCACAAGUAAGUUAUUCACAUAGACAAGAAAGUAAAUGGUGACAUUGUUGCAAUUGUAAAUAAAAAAAGAGGGAUUUUCUUAGUGAGACAUGAGAGACUUGCACUAUUUUCAUGGCAUAGAAGCUCUCUCCAUGCCUCAAGGGUUACUACUCACUCAUCAUAGAUAUAUAUGGGAUCUUCUCACUUGCACCAAACUAGAUGGUGCCAAGGAGGUUAUUAUACAACUCUCUACCCCUACCUCCUUUACUCUUCAUGAUAGCUUGCCCAUUUCAUGCACUAUCCAACUGAGAUCCACUGGUCAACAAGUAAGUGUCUAUGUCGCUAUCUUAAGCACACUAUCCAUCAUGGUCUUCUCCUUAAGUGUCAUCAACCUUUGGCUCUAACGACCUUCUUUUAUGUUGACUAGGUUGGCAAGAGGGAUGACAGGACCUUUACUACUACAUAUAUUGUCUACCUUGGUGGUAAAGUUAUCUCUUGGUGCUAUCGCAAGAAAAAGUAUGUUGCUCAAUCUUCCAUAGAGUAUUAAUAUCAUGUCCUUGUUUGCACAGUUGUAGAAUUCAUUUGGCUCAAAUCUCUUUUGGGUGAACUUAGCCUUCAACUCUCUAAGACACCUAUUAUAAAUUGUGACAACUUUGGUGUUACCUACCUUUCUAUCAAUUCUAUUUUUCACUAAAAAAUGAAGCACAUUGCUAUCAACUUUCACUUUAUACGUGAUCAUGUUAUCAGUGGGAAUCUCAUCGUAUCAUAUAUAUCUACUAAAGAUCUACUUACAGAUGUUUUGACUAAGUCUUUGAGUUGACAACUCUCUCUUUAGCUUUGAGCAAAGAUUGGUGUCUUUUAUGGGAGCACCAUCUUGCAGUGGCAUAAUAGUGCAAAAUCCCAUCCUUACGAUCUUACAUAUUCACAUCCCAAUAUUCAAGCCUCACUAGGCUCAAUCAAAAUCUCUAAAUGGAUGAAAUUUUGCAAUAAUCAAUGACUAAUUACAUGGGUCAAUUAUAAAUCAUUUCGGCAUAAUUUAUGGUAUCAUUUUUGUAAUUUUUUGUGCAUAAUAUUCUUACUAUGUAUUUAUAUAUAUAGUGUAUUGACUAUAAAUGAAUACAAGCUUUCUAAUAAGUAUUGUUUGUUUUAUAUGAAAAUGACAGAAAUCUAGAACCACUCACUCUUGCCUCAAUCUUCAACAAAGGCCACGACAAAAGUAAAAGAAAAUCGAUUGAACCAGCUAAGCCAUGAAAUCAGUUUCUCGACCUCCAAGACUGUUGACGCGUGUUAUGAAGAGUCGUUGCAGUGACUGCUAGUUAGUGAUGAAACAAACUGAGCUUGUCUUCGUCUCAUUUCCGAUCAUUGGCCACAUUUCGCCUACAGUGGAGAUUGCAAAGCUGCUUACUCAGUGAGACCCCCGAUUCUCAAUCACGAUCUUCAUCAUGAAGUUUUCGUUUGGAUCCAUUGAUAGUAUGACCACGGACUCUGAUUCCAUACGUUUCAUCACACUUCCUCCUGUAGAGAUCAGCUCCGGAGCAACGCCGUAUGUUCCCUUCAUCUCUGAAUUCCUCAAAGCUCAGAUACUACUCGUCAGAGACGCAGUCCACUAGGUCACUCGCUCCAACUCGGUUUGGCUCGUUGGGUUCGUUGUUGACAUGCUCUGCACCACAUGAUUGGAAAGGUGAUUAUAUGGGCUCCACAAGUAGGAUUUUAGCCCACUCAGCUGUUGGAGGAUUUGUUUCUCAUUGUGGAUGGAAUUCUCUCCUAGAAAGCAUAUGGUAUGGUGUUCAUGUAGCCACAUGACCAAUGUAUGUGGGAAGAACAAAUCAACGCAUUUCAAAUGGUGAAUGGUUUAAGGUUGACAAUAGAAAUUAAAAUAUGUAAUAAGGAUAACAUUUAUAUUCUAAGUCUUCAUGAGAUUGAAAAUGGAUUAAAGAAUUUAAUGAGCAUUAAUAGUCAAGUGAGGAAGAAAAUGAAUGAGAUGCAACACAUAAGUAGAAGAGUUAUGAUAGAUGGUGGAUCCUCGCACUCUUCUUUAGGUCAUUUAUUGAAAACAUGAUGACCAAUAUUUCAUAACCUAAUGUAUCGGAUUGUUACUUUAUCAUAUGCUUUAUUUCAAUGUUGAUGUAAUUUCUUUGAUUUCAAAAUUUAUAAAAAAGUUUGUUCUCUUUUUAUCAUUUAAUGAAGAAAGUUUAAAAGGACAUAAAUUUAAUCAUAUGCAGAUCUCGAUUGUUAACAAAUGCAUAAUUGAUUAUCUUAGUGUAGGGAGUUAAAAUAAAUAAUAAAGUAAACAAUAUUAUUAAUAAUCAACAAAGCUAUUAAAAUUGUUUUAUUAAGGUGAUAGUAAUAAUACCAUUGGGAAUUUGACGAUCCAAUUUGAGUUUGUACUCCUAAAAGUCUAUUUUAUUAUAGUGAGUACUAGAAUUUGUUCACUUGGGUCACUAUUAAUGUUGGAAAGAGGAAUGUCCAAGAUGGUCAUUAAUUUUCUAAUAUACAUAAUUAAAUAAUAAUUAAUAGGGAAUGACUCUUUCAAGACCUAUUAAAUAAAAAUAAAAAUAAAAAAAUUCAAAAAAAUUAUGUGAAUAAACAAAUUAAAUAAUAACUUGGAAUAAAUUAACAAAAUAAUAGCUUUUAUAUAAACAUAAAAAAAAUAUUUUUAAAAAAUAAGGACGUGCUUUCAAAAACUGAAAUUCCAUGUAAUAAAAAAGCUUUUAACUUGAAAAUUUUAACCUAUUUUUUGUUUUGAUGGUAAAUUUUUUCUAUUUAUAUAAGAAUUUUUUAGUUUAAUUUUGUAGAACAUUAACCAUAAGCAAACUCUUCGGUUCAUAUUAUUUUAUUAUUUUUUCCUUUUUAUGUUUCCUUUUCAAAUAGGUGUUGACAUAAAUACCCUUUCCUACAUCCAACUACCCUUUAUUGUCAUGUAGUGUCCAAUUUUUCAUAUCCUCACAUGUGACAUUCGGCGACCAUGUGGUGCUUCUAAAAUAUUCCCAAUUAUACUACUCCAAAGUGUGACAUGUGACACUUCUAGUAUAUCCCUAAAUUAAUACUUAUAGUUUAGUUAAUAUAAUUCUUUUCUAGUCCAUUUGCAUAGUUUUGAGGUUAUUCAACUUUUUGAUUAUUUUAAAUUAUUGGAAACUUAAUUAUUUUACUAAUGUUUUACUUUUUCUAAUUAUUUUAAAUUUAAUUGGAUUUUUAAUUGUUUUAUUUGUUUUACUAAUGUUUUACUUUCUCUAAUUAUUUAUAAUGUAAUUGAAUUUUUAAUUAUUUAAUUUAUUUAUUUUCAAAAAUCGAAAAAAAUUCUUAUCUAAAAAUCCAAGAUGUUACACAAUCAAUGUAGAGGAAAAAAUGGAAAAGAAAUUUUAUAUAUUUCCAAAUAACAUAUCAUUUUUUUUUCACGAAAAUCAAUACUAAUUCCCCUAACCUCAAAGAAACACACAAUUUUUUUGAAAAAUUUAUUGUUAAAGAACUUAAUCAUCAUCUAACAUAAUAUAAAAAAUAAAUAAAUAACCAUUACUAUUAAUUAUUUAACUAAAAUUAUAAUUUGAUAUUCCUGAAAAUUGUAUAUAUCAUUAUUAUUAUUAUUAUUAUUCCUCAUUAUAUUAAUUCAAUUAAUCUAUUCUUAAAAUUAGGUUGAGUUAGUAAAUUUCCCAUUUACCUAAAAUUACUAACUUCAAAACUUGAUUUUAUAAAUAUACCAAUUUGAUUUUAUUAAACCAAGAUUUUAUUUUAUUUAUUAAUUUAAAACUAAACAUUUUAUUAUACUUGUAGGGACCCCUCCUCCUGAGAACACGUGCCACGCACCUCAUGGUGACACGUGGCACGCAUUACCAUCCGGAUCACCCCCAUCCGGAUACACGUGACGCGCCUCUCAUAUCCGGACCGCCUCAAGGAAGUUCAAACGACACUUAUAAACAUAAGACAUCCGGACGACUUCCACCUCAUAUCCGAACCGCCUCAAGGAAGUUCAAACGACACUUGUAAGCAUAAGACAUCCGGACGACUUCCACCUCAUAUCCGGACCGCCUCAAGGAAGUUCAAACGACACUUGUAAGCAUAGAACAUCCGGACGGCUUCCACAAAUACAUCCGGAUGACCAGCUGUGGACCCUGCAUUUCGACUCAUGCGUUUCCCACUCGAUGGCGAGCUCGAUUUUUAUUUGAAAAAUUGAUUUUAUAUUGAUCAAGAAAAAUGACUCGGAGUCGCCACUUAUUUUUGUUUUAUUUUUAAAGGGUAAACAAAAUAAGAAAGAAAAACCCUAAGUGUGACUCCUUGUUUUGGAAAAUGUGGUCUGUGAAAAACCGAAUCGGGUUCGGGGGUCAGGUUACUUAUCGGGAAGGUACGGUAGAGACCGUAACACCCCUCUAAGUCCCUAAAAAAACGGGUCUCUACUAAUAAAAUGAAGCAAUCAAUGGCAAUUGAUGAGGGAAUCAAUGAACACUCAGAGUGAUCAUGCACAUGUGGGAAUCUAAACAUGCAUACAGAAAAAUGACCCGAACGGGUGUGGAUGCGUACCUGGGCAAUGAUCCAUAAAGCGCUAUCAAGAAGUGAGGUUAGCGCACAAUUAAGGAAUAAUUUCGAGCAUGUCAUAGAGCAAAAUAAAAUCGAUCAUGCAUGACAAUUAAAUCAAACAAACAAUCAAUCAAUCAUAAGGAGGUCACAUAUGUUGGGCCCCCACCAAAACCCGAUUUAUAUUGCAUGAAUUAAUCUCACGAAUCCCAUUAUUUCGGAAUUAUGAAGAUUCGUUCUUGCUUAUUAAAGUCCAGAGGAGCAGAAGAUUGUUUGAAAGCCAGAGCGGAAUUAAAACUAUUCGGGAGAAAAUUAGAUUUUUGAAAUUUAAUUGAAAAGUUGGAAUCUCGAAGAUCACUAGAAAAUUGGAGUUUUAGAAUUUAUUUGGAGAUUAGACUUUUAGAGAUUGAAUGUGAGAAUGAGAAUUUUUAGAAACUGAAUUUGAAAGAGGUUGGAAUUUUAAAAACGAAAGUUGAUGUGUAAAAAUUGGAAAUCCUAGAAAUCAUUCGAAGGCGGAAUUUAUAGAAAUAAUGAAUAAGAUGAUAAUGAUAAUGAUAAUAAUAAGUAGCGGGAUAAAUAUGGGAAUUGGAGCAUGGGAAACUGACAAUUAAGUUCGGAGAUUGGACAAUUGAAGUUUCAAAUAGCUAAAUUUAGAAAUUGGAAUUUUGAAGAAUUAGACCUUAAUGAUUGAGAUUUUUAAGAGAAAUAAAUGGGUAAAUAUGGAAUAAUGUUGUUAAUUAAUCAAAACGAUAUUUGGACGGAUGAAUAGUGAAUAGUGGGAUUUUGAAAAUUAAGUUUGAAAGUCGGAUCUUUGAAUAAUUGGACUCUAAUUAUUGGAAUUUUUAGAAGAAAGAAAUAAGUAAACGUGGAAUUUAUAACAAUGAUAACAAAGAUGAUAUUUGAAUGAAUAAAAGAGAAUGGUGGAAUUUUUUUAGUCUCAAGGUUAAAUUUGGAGGUCCGGUUUUGAAGAAUUGAAUUUUAAUGAUCGAAAUAAAUAAGUAAAUAAGUAUGGAGUAAUGAUACUAAUGAACAAAAAUAAUGUUUAAACGAAUAAAAAAGAGGAUAGUGGAAUUUUUCUAAUUGAGAAUUUGAAUUAGGGCGUUGGAUUUUUAAGGGAUAUGACUUUGACUAAAUAGGUAGGUAUGUGAUUAUAAUACUAAUUAACGAGAAUAACAUUUCGGUGAAUAAAGAUGAAUAGUAGAAUUUUUGGGAUUGAAGUUUUAAUUAAGGCAUGGGGUUUUCGGAAGAUUAGACUUUGAAUAGAUAUGAAAAUAAUGAUUCUAAUUGAUGAGGAUAAAAUUUAGAUGAACAGUAGAAUUUAUAGGAUUGAAAAAUUGAAUUAAGACAAGAGAUUUUUGAAGAACUAGGUUUUAAAUAAAUAGACAAAUACGUUAUAAUAACCCUAAUUGAUGGAAAUAAGAUUUAAACGAAUUACUUAGAAACUAAAUUAAGACAGGGGAUUUUUGAAAGGAUUAGAUUUUAAAUAACUAAAUAAAUGUGGGAUAAUAAUUCGAUUUAUGAAAAUAUGAUUUAAACAAGUAUUUGAAGAAUUAAAUUAAAAACAUGGGAUUCUUGAAGGAUUGGUAUAAAUAAAAUAGGUGAAUGGAUAGGGUAAUAAUUCUCAUUGAUGAACAUAAGGUUUAAACGAGCAUUUAAAGAAUUAAAGUAGGACAUGGGAUUUUCUUAAUGGAUUUAGAAUUCGAACAAUUAAUAAUACGGGAUGAUGAUUUGAUUUAUGAAAAUGAGAUUUAAACAAGUAUUUGAAGAAUUAAAUUAAAGCAUGAGAUUUUUUGAAGGAUCGGUAUAAAUAAAAUAGGAGAAUAUAAGAUAAUAAUUCUAGUUGAAUAAAUAUGAGAUUUAAAAGAGCAUUUGAAGAAUUAAAUUAUGACAUGGGAUUUUCUUAAUGGAUUAGAAUUCGAAUAACUAAUAAUACGGGAUGAUGAUUUGAUUUUAUGAAAAUGAGAUUUAAACAAGUAUUUGAAGAAUUAAAUUAAAGCAUGAGAUUUUUGAAGGAUUGGUAUAAGUAAAAUAGGAGAAUAUAAGAUAAUAAUUCUAGUUGAUAAAUAUGAGAUUUAAAAGAGCAUUUGAAGAAUUAAAUUAAAACAUGUGAUUUUGAUUUAUAGAUUGGACUUUGAAUAAAUAAUAAAUAAGGGAUAAUAAUGUGAUUUAUAAAAAUAUGAUUUAAACAAAGAUUUUGAAGUAUUAAAUUGAACUUAGGAUUUUUUUCUUUUGAACCUAUCAUCCACACAAACUGGGCCUGGGCUCCAACUCAAGCCCAAGUCCAAUGUCUUCAUUGGGCAAGCCUAAUACAAUAAUCCAUCACCAACUUGGGCCUAGUGCCCCAAUCCAAGCCCAAGUCCAAAGGUGUCAAUGGGCAAGCCCAAGGCAAUUAAAGCCUUCACAAACUUGGGCUUCUCUUUUGGGCCCAACCCACUAAAAUCCAAAUCCAUACUCAUUUUCUCUUUGGGCCCUUCAGCCACGCUCUUCUUCUUCACCUUAGGAAGACUAUGACGGAGAAAGCGGAGGUGAGAGAGGCGUCGCCGGAGGUCCUCGGAGUUGGUCCAAGCUGCCAACUUUCCAUCCCGCCGCCUCGAUUACCGCCACCCAUGCCACGUUCGCCGUCGUGUUCCAACGUCGGCGUCCAGGAGUGGAGCCAGCAGCUACGGCCUGGUGUCGGCGUCCGAGAGUAGAGCCAGCAGCCGCGGCCUGGUGUCGGCGUCCGAGGACGCUUUCUCGGUCGAACCUGGCCGUCUGGGGGAGAGUUUGUCGCGUGCGUCGCCGACAAUGCUGCUGCCACCGAGUUCCUAUAGUGGGCGGGCUGGGUAGAGUGGCUUCAAAGGGCGGUGACGAUGAGGGGAGAGUUGAUAGCGGCACCUUCACGCAGAACGCGAGGUGCAUGGGACUCGCCGGAGCACCGCAAAAGAGCCUCAUGCUCCCGGAACUGCAUCCGAGGCUCUCCAUUUGCUGGGAUUUUGGAGUUUUGGCGCUAGGCUCGAAAUGGGGUUGGAGUUUUGAGCAUCUCCGGCUGCUGUCCUAGUAGACGUUUUCUUCUGGUGUUUUGAGGGGUGAGAAAAAUGAGAGGAAAAUGAGGAGGAAAAAUGGAGGGUAGGAGUGGAUGAAGGACAUGAGGAUACAGAGAAAGAAUGGGUUUUAGGCGGUAUGUUUAGAUGGACACAUGCAUGAGGGUGCGGGUAGAGAGAGAUAGAGAUAUCCAUGCAUGCUCCAAGCUCCACGUACAGGGAAGGACAGAGAAUAUAUGUAUGAUUCUGAUGCUCUCAUAUGCAUAAAUAUCCUCAAGUGAAAAUCAUAAAAAGAACGAGAGAGUAGCAGAAAAGUUGCAUCCAAACAGUGAAUAAAAGCUAAAGACAUCAAGGAAAAUGCAUGAAGAACAAUGCAACAAAAAAAUACAAACAGAAGAUCCAUAAUAUUCGCACCUGGAAGAGCUCUCUCCUAGCGGGAACCAAUCAGAAAAAAAAUGCUUGAGUCCCUCCUUUCUUCCUCUGCUCUACCCUACUCCAAGCUACCGUCCCUCUUUUUCCCUCUUUCUUUUCUUUUCUCUGCUGGCCAGCCUCUCCUUUUCCUGCCCUAGGCAACCCACAUCAGUCUUAUGUCCCAUCUUGCCGCCACCACCAGCCUCAUUUCCGGGACGUCAGAAGCAUAAAUCAAUAAAAGCAAUAUCACCCCAAAGAAUGCUACUGUUCGGGGGGUCUACACCAGCAUAAACCAUCCGAAUAUAAUUGUCCGGGUCAUUGACUGAAGUAAGCAAGUCUUACACGUUAUCACAACAGCCUGCCAUGACCCGCGUUUCGCCACCUGUAGAGUGAAGGGACAAGAUGAAGUGACAACAAGUCACUUCCCACGAUCAUUUCACAUGAUCACUUACCACGAUUUCUGACAGCCGCAUCACCUACCACGAUCCCUGUCAAACUGCCCGUAGGGUGAUGAUGGCCCUGCCACCACCUAGUGUCAUCAUGACAACACAAAAUAUCUCCCCACCAUUAAAGAAGAACAAAAGCUUCUGAUACUAUAUAUAUCAACCUUCACACAAAGAGGAAGGUAAGCUUGCGAUACCUAGUAAAAGGCCAACUGAUUUAUCUCUCUCUCUCUAACCAUGGCUGACAAAACCAUCGGAGGGUGCGUCCGGACACCCCGUCCUGACGUCUUUUGCAGGUGGAACGACUGAAUCAAGAACCUAUAUUGGUUAAGAUCGUGCGUCCAUCCAUUUGGCAACUACGUGGAUCACCAGGGACGCGAGGCCUCAACAAUACCAUCUCAUUACUCUUUUUUUUUUUUUAAUAAAUCCUCAUUGAUAGCAUUAAAUUCCUCACCAACAUUUAAACAUCACUAUAACUUUCUUUUAUUAUUUUAUCAUACCAUCCCAUUACUCCUAUAUCUUGUUGGAAUGGAUCUUCAUUUGCAGCAUCAAAUUCUCCACUAGCAUUCAAACGUCACUGCCACACCUAUGGUCAUCGCACGUUUUCCAACACCUACAUCAUACACUGUAACAGCUCGAAUUAAUUUCCAAGGUUUGAAUCGUAAAUUAGAAAUACAAAAAAAAAAUUAAAUAAUUUUAAUAAGAGUAGAAACGUUUUUUGUAUUUAAAAACCCUAUAAAUUAUAUUUCUCUUCUCUUCUCUUUACAUAAACCCUUUUGUACAGAGAUUAGGGGAAUUAGAGAACGGAGGGUUGAAGAUCAAUUUUUUAAAUAAGAUUAUUAAUCUUGAAAUUAGUAUUUUAUAUUUAUUAAUUAGUUUUGAACAUUUAAAAAAAAAUUUAAAACAUCUUAAUAUAGAUUAGAGUUUGUUAUUUAAUUUUUAUUUAAAUAAAAGAAAAAUUGAAAUUUAUGAACAUAGGUAGAUUUAUUAAUGGAAAACAACAUGUCUCUAAUUUAGUACCUUAAGAAAGUUAGCUAUGAAGGACAUGUUGUUCCCUAUCACAAGUAAGUCAUCCAUAGGGAUGGCAAUGGGGUGGAUUUUUUCGGGUACUCGUCCCGCCCCGUCCCUCCCUUAAUGGGAUGAGGUUUAAUUUUAAUAAACGGGUUUAGGACGGGUUUGAGAAUUUUUUUUAAAACUCGAGACAGGUUGGAGACAGGUUCAGGACGGGUUCGGGUAUUGCCCAACCCCACCCCGCCCUACCCCAAUUAUAUAUAAAGUUUUAAAAUUUAAUUUAAUUUAAAAUUUAAAAUUAAUUUAAUUUAAUUUUUAUUUUACUAUUUUAAAUAUAUAGACAAUAAUAAAAUAUUUUUAAUAAAAUAAGUUAUAAAAAAUAUAAUAAUUUAAUUAUUUUAAUGUAAUUAAAAAUUUAAAAGUAAUUCAAAAAAAAAGUUAAACGGGGCAAGACGGGUAUGAGAAUUUAUCAUACCCGCCCCGCCCCGCCUUGUUUAAUUUUUUAAAUGGGACGGGGAUGGGAAUUGUUUCGAAUAAACGGGACGGGGUUGGGAUGGGGGUGACCUGUCCCGAACCCACCAUGUUGCCAUCCCUAGUCAUCCAUAUAGACAAGAAAGUAAAUAUGACAUUAUUAUUGCAAUUGUAAAUAAAAAGAGAUGGAUUUUCUCAAUGAAAGACAAGAGAGACUUGCAUUAUUUUUUUGGCAUCGAAGCUGUCUCCAUGCCUCAAGGGUUACUACUCAUCAUAGAUAUAUACGGGUGUAGAUCCUAAAAUUUGUCAUAAUUUUAUUUUUGCAUUAAUUUUGACCCUAAUUUUAUUCUUAAAUUUUAAAUCUCAAUUACAUAUGAUAUUUUUUACUCACUCACUAUUUAAUUUUUAUUAUUUUAUAUAUUGUUUUAUUUUAUUUUAUUAUUACUAUUAUUUUUUUCAUUUUUUUUUCUUCAUUUUCUCUCUCCUCUCUCCUCCCCCUACUCCCCAUUCCCCGCCCAUACCCCCCUCUCUCACUCACUUCCAAAUUCUCUCUCCUCUCACUUUCCUUUUUCUUUUGGAUUUUUGCUUCCUAGAAAAAAAGGGCCGAGCAUAUUAUUUUUUUGUUUUUUUUUUCUGUCUCACUUUCUCUUCUGCCAGCCGACACACGACCUGUGGCCGGUCCCAUUUUUUUCUUCCAUCUUUUUUCUCAGCCCCAACACCACUCUCCACUGCCACAUGACCACACUCCCUCCCUGAUAUUGAAAAAAUUGGAUACAAUGGAGAAAAGAAACACUCUCAAACACUCACUUUGAUACAAUAAAACUCUCAAAGUUACAAAAUAAGAACAAGAAAAAGAAGAACACAAGAAAGGCUCAAACAAAUUCUUGGAACUUUGUCCAAAGACUCUAUUUCCUCCCACCUCUAUAAAUCUUUAGGGAACUAAUGGAAAUAGUCUUGGGAUUGAUCAAGCCUUUUCACUUUUCUGCAUAAGAUUUCAAAAAGAAGAAAAGUCAUAUAAAACACUCUUAGGGUUGAAAAUGGUUACAAGGAUGAGAAAAAACUCAUUGUCUUCCUCAAUCUCUUCAUCUUUGUAACAUUCAAAAAAUUAAAUCAUAUGUUUAAUUCACACAUUAAACAUGAUUUAAUCUCAAAUGUGUAACUCUCUUACACUUAACUUCUUAAGUUUUAUAAAGUUACAAAGAUAAGAAGACUCAUUGUCUUCCUUAACCUUUCAAGUUUUGUAACAUUUCAAAACUUAAUCAUGUGUUUAAUUCACACAUUAAAAGUGUAACCCUUCUUACACUUUAUUUUCAAAAGUUAUUUUUUAAAAGUGUAACUCUUCUUACACUUUACUUUUUAACCAACUAUAUAUAUAUAUAUUUAUAUAAAUAUAACAAUCCCCCACUUGGUUAAAAAUAAACAUCAACCCUUAUAACCUCAACAGUGAAAAUGCAUAAAAUAUCUUUCAAUUUGAAUUUUACCUUAGUGUAAUUGUCACAAAGCUCCGUUGAAAUCCUAGGUUGCUUGUAGCAUUGAACCAGUUAUUCCUUGUAACGAAACCGGUAACAACACACACACUUCCACUAACCACACGAGUGCGUAUUAUUUUCUUGCUUAGCACUUUUAUGGCCAUGUGCUCAAUCCAUUCAUGAACUUUCUUGAAAGAAACUCCAACUCUCAUGAGAGGCGGCACCACCCCUAAGUUCACAAUGGUGAAAUUCUUCCAGUAUCCUUGUUACCUUUAAGAUGUUUGUCACACAUAGACUGAAUUUCAUUAAAAGCUUUAAGCUUAACCCUCCAACGGUAACAACCAGCAUUAAUCAUCACAGAUGGAACUCACAUGUUCUAAUGCUGCCACAACCCACUUAUCAAUGACUUGUUUUUACCUAUUGAACUUAAGACUAGUCAUUUCCUAGUAUUAAGUUGGGUUACCAUCAUUGGUGAGUUUUAUUUAAGGAGUUUUAGUUUCAUCCCUCUAGAUGUUAUCCUUACCAAAUCUCUUGUAAGAGGUUUAGUAAAAGGAUCCGUCAAGUUUCCACUUGACCUCACAAAUGAGAUUGAGAUGAUUCCAUAUUGAAUCAAUUGUCUCACAUACUCAUGUCUAAUGCUUAUAUGUCUAGACUUCCCAUUGUACAUUCCACUGUACGCACGAGCUAGAAUGGCUUGACUGUCACAAUGUAUCGACACUGUUGACACAUUAUUUGCAGCAAAAAGGAUGUCCAUCAUGAGAUCCCUAAGCCACUCAGCUUCUUUUCCAAUUGCAGUUAGAGCUAUAAAUUUUGCCUCCAUGGUUGAGUGUGAUAUACAAGUCUGUUUCUUGGAUCCCCAAGAGACAGCCCCACCACCAAGUGUAAACACCCAACCUGUGGUAGAUAAAUUAUCUCCCACACUCGAUAUCCAGCUUGCAUCUGAAUACCCUUCAAGUAUAGCAGGAAACUUUGAAUAUUGGAGGCUUAGUUCUUUGGUAUUCUUUAGGUAAUCAAGAACUCUACCAAUAGCUUUCCAAUGUUCCACGCUUGGAUUGCUAAUAAACCUACUUAGUUUACUAAUUGCAAAUGAAAUGUCAGCCCGAGUACACUGAGCAACAUACAUAAGACUUCCAAUUGCACUUGCAUACUCAAGUUGAGCCACCGAUCUACCAUCAUUCUUUUCAAGUUUUAUACUUGAAUCAAAUGGAGUAUUAACAUCUUUAAUCUUAAGAUGACUAAAUUUGCUAACUACUUUCUCAAUAUAGUGGGUUUGGUUCAAAGCAUAACCCCCACUAUUUCUUUUCACUUUGAUACCCAAUAUUGUAUCAACUUCUCCAAGAUCUUUCAUCUUGAAGGUUGAAGAUAGAAACCUUUUCGUUUAUAUUAUUCCUUUCAUGUCAUCACUCAAGAUUAACAUGCCAUCCACAUAUAGACACACUAUGACCAUAUAGUCAUCACAAGUCUUAGAAUAUAAGCACUUGUCCACAUUGUUGUGUCUAAAUCCAUUCGAAAGAAUAGCAUGAUCAAAUUUUUUGUGCCAUUGUUUAGGAGCUUGUUUAAAACCAUAUAAUGAUUUGACAAGCUUACACACUUUGUUUUCAUUCCCCAGUAGAACAAAACCUUCCGGUUGUUCCAUGUAGACCUCCUCAUUGAGAUCCUCAUUCAAGAAUGCCGUUUUGACAACCAUUUGAUGAACAAAUAGAUUAUGAAUUGAUGCCAAAGCAAACAAUAUCCUAAUCGAUGUUGUUCUAGCCACCGGCGCAUAGGUAUCAAAAUAAUCAAUACCUUCUCUUUGUUUAAACCCCUUAGCUACUAAUCUAGCCUUAAAGGUUUGAAUCAUGCCAUCGGUGUGAUAUUUCCUUCGAAAUACCCACUUGCACCCUAUUGGUUUAGAUCCUGGUGGUUCCACCAUUUUGUCUCUUGAUCUCGAUUCUUCCUCAAUGCGAAGAUGUUUUUGAAUCUCUUCCAAGGAGUAAUCUUCACUCUUGUGGAGAAUCCUCUUUCGGUAACCUUUCCAACUUGAUGGUAAUUUAGCCAUAAUAGCACCAACUUGGAAGGCCUCCGGAAGUUCAAUUUUGAGAACUUUCAACUUAUUCACAAUUACUUGCAACUCAUGAAUUUGUGGUAAGAGAGGCUUUUCAUCAAAAAAUUUGAAAUCUAUGUAUUGAGAAAUAAGAAACUUUUUGGUACCUUCUUCCUCGGCUUUGUACUUGUUUUCAAGAGCCUCCCAAAUCUCCCUCGCGGAAUAAGUGUUGGUGUAGAGAUCAUAUAGCCUAUCGGAUAAGGCGUUCAAAAUAUGACCCCUACAUAUGAGCUCAUCCUCCUCCCUCUUCUUCCUUGCCGCCACCACUUGAGGUGUGUCAUUUUCCUUUGGUUCCGGUAACGGUGCCAAGGUAGGAUCAAGGAUGUAGAAAAUCUUGAGUGCUGUGAGAAGGAAUCUCACCUUGUCUUGCCACCUAGUGAAGUUGGAACCAUCAAAACGAUCCAACCUCACAAGGUCUUGGUUCAUAAUCUUGAUAGUCUCUCCUUCCAUUGCAAUUAGAGUCUUUGAUUGAUAGAAAAAUUUUGGAUACAAUGGAGAAAAGAAACACUCUCUAACACUCACUUUGAUACAAUAAAACUCUCAAAGUUACAAAAUAAGAACAAGAAGAAGAAGAACACAAGAAAGACUCAAACAAGUUCUUGGAACUUUGUCCAAAGACUCUAUUUCCUCCCACCUCUAUAAAUCCUUAGGGAAUUAAUGGAAAUAGUUUUGGGAUUGAUCAAGCCUUUUCACUUUUCUGCAUAAGAUUUCAAAAAGAAGAAUAGUCGUAUAAAGCACUCUUAGGGUUGAAAAUGGUUACAAGGAUGAGAAAAAACUCAUUGUCUUCCUCAAUCUCUUCAUCUUUGUAACAUUCAAAAAAUUAAAUCAUAUGUUUAAUUCACACAUUAAACAUGAUUUAAUCUCAAAUGUGUAACUCUCUUACACUUAACCUCUUAAGUUUUAUAAAGUUACAAAAAUGAGAAGACUCAUUGUCUUCCUUAACCUUUCAAGUUUUGUAACAUUUCAAAACUUAAUCAUGUGUUUAAUUCACACAUUAAAAAUGUAACCCUUCUUACACUUUAUUUUCAAAAGUUAUUUUUUAAAAGUGUGACUCUUCUUACACUUUAUUUUUUAACCAACUAUAUAUAUAUAUUUAUAUAAAUAUAACACUCCCACUCUUCUCUCUAGCCUUUUCUUUUUUAUUUAUUUAUUUAUUUUAUUCUUCCAUAUUUCUUCUCCACGCCACUUCCCAUCUCUCCAUCGCCAUUGUCGGUGGCGUGACGCCGGAGCCAUUUCCAACGCCCCCUCCAUCCAUUUUUUUCUCCCAUUUUUUUAUUGUCUUCCUUUUUUUUGUUAUUUUAUUUUGUUUUUGUUUUUCAAAAAGCCAUCAACCCUUAUCGCCGCCGGCGAAACCACCGGUCAAUUGCCAUCAACAAGCCACUCUUCGCCGAUGACCUCCUCCUCUUUUCUCUCAUUCCCUCACUUUUCCAUCACACUCAUUUUUCAUUAUUAUUAUUAUUAUUAUUAUUAUUAUUAUUAUUCUUUAUUUGAUUUUAAUAGUAAUUAUUGUUUGUGAUAUUUGAAUUAUUGAAUUAAUAUGAAAUUUUUUAACUUUGUUAAUUAAUAUAGAAUUUAGGUUAAUUUGUUGUUGGUAAAUUAAUAUGAAAUUUAGAAUAAUUUAUUAUGGGUGAAUUAAUUUGGAAUUUGUUAAUUUGGCUUUGAUUAGUUGAUAAUUUAUAUAGUUGUACUCAUUUGAAUUAUUUAAUUUAGAUAUGAUAUAAUAUUAUGGUAUAUUUUGGACGUGGGUUUGCAUAUUAAAUUGAGUUGAUUUUGGUUGUGAAUUUAGGUUUGUAUAUUAAAUUAGGCUUGAAUUAUGAUAUAUUAAAUUUAAGCCUAAUAAAAUUUAUUUUAAUUUAUCUAAUUUUAGGUUUGGUUGAUUGUGUUUGUAUUUUGAUUAUUAAUUUGGAUAUUUUGGGUUAAGAUCUAUAGUAAUUUAAGCUCAUUUUAAUUGACGAAAUUUAUUAGAUUAAUUUGAAAUUUGAAUUUGGGUUUGAAUAUUUGUUUGAGAUUUUGUACAUGUAUGGAUAUUUACUUUGGGUUAUUUUUAUUUUUGCAUAAGCUCAUUCUAUAAUUUUGUUAGUUGAAUACAAAUUUAUGACACGUGGAGUAUAGAAUUUCAUGAGAGAAAGUGAGAUUUGAAAAGCUGUAAAUAGAGUAUUGAACUUGUUGUAAGUUUAAUUAGAUACACAUUUUAUUACCUUAUUUUAUUUUAUUUUUAUUUUAUUGGUUUCUAUAAAUAUUUAUUUGUAUAUAUUUAUUGAGUGUGUAUAGAAUUGAAUAUCAAACAAAUUAGAAAUUUUGUUUAAAUAAAAGGAAUAAUUCAGUAAACAUGUUUUAAUAAAAUAAUAAUUUUAAAAUAUUCUUCUUAAUAAAAGAAAACUUUUUUAGUAAUAAAAAUUCAUAAAAAUGCUUUUAUAAAAAUCCAAAAAAAUUGUUUUUAAUAAUGAUUGUCCAAAAAUUUCUUUGUUAAAUAAAAAAUAUCCAAAAAUUGUUUUGUAAAUAAAGGUGUUCCAAAAAUUAAUUAUUAAUUAAAAAUUCUUUUGCAAAUAAAGUUAUAUUUUUUUAAAAUAAUUUGUAUAAGUCACUUUGGUGGUAAUGUUAUCUCUUAGUUCGCAAAUAAAUGUUUGUUGCUCAAUCUUCCAUGGUAUCAGGCCUUGCUUGCACAGUUGCCUUCAAUUCCCUAAGACACUUAUUAUAAAUUGUGACAACAUUCAUGCUACCUACCUUUCUAUCAGUUUUUUUUCACUCAAAAAUGAAAUACAUUACUAUCAACUUUCACUUUGUGUGUGAUCAUGUUGUCAAUAGGAAUCUCAUCAUACCAUAUAUCUCUACCAAAGAUCAACUUGCAAAUGCUUUGACUAAGCCUUUGAGUCGACAACUCUUUUUUUGGAUUUGAUCCAAGAUUGGUGUCUCUAAUGGGAGCACCAUCUUGCAGCGGAGUAAUAGUGUAGAAUCUCGUUCUUGCAAUCUUGCAGCUUCACAUCCUGAUAUUCAAGCCUCACAAACUCAACCAAAAUCCCUAAAUGGAUGAAAUUUCUGUUGUAAUCAAUGACUAAUUACAUGGGUCAACUAUAAAUCAUUCGGCCAUAAUUUAUGAUAUCAUUUUUGUAAUUUUCUGUGCAUAAUAUUCACUCUGUAUUUAUAUAAUGUCUUGACCGUAAAUGAACACAAGCUUUCUCAUCAGUAUUAUUUUUGUCUGUUAGCCCCAAAUAUUGUUUGUUUUAUAUGAAAAUGUUAACCCCAAAUGUAUGACUUUGUUGUUUGUUUUAUAUGGAAAUGACAGUAAUCUAGAAGCACUCACUCUUGCCUCAAUUUUCAACAAAGGCGGACACAAAUCUUACGAAAACGACAGGUAAAAGAAAAUAGAUUGAAACAGCUAAGCCAUGACAUCAGUUUCUCGGCCCCCAAGACUAAUCAGGCUGGUUAUGAAAAGUCGUUUACAACCCAUUUAGCCACAAGUAUAAGUGUCACACCACCGCAAAGCCCUCAAAACAUCCAAUAUUUCUCUCUUUGCAGUGACUGCUAGUUAGUGAUGAAACAAACUGAGCUUGUCUUCAUCCCACUUCCGAUCAUUGGCCACCUUUCACCUACAGUGGAGAUGGCAAAGCUGCUUACUCAGCGAGACCCCCGAUUCUCAAUCACGAUCUUCAUCAUGAAGUUUCCGUUUGGGUCCAUUGAUAGUAUGACCACGGACUCUGAUUCCAUACGUUUCGUCACACUUCCUCCUGUAGAGUUCAGCUCCGGAGCGACGACGCCUGGUCCCUUCAUGUCUGAAUUCAUCAAAGCUCAGACACUACUCGUCAGAGACGCAGUCCACGAGCUCACUCGCUCCAACUCGGUUCGGCUCGCUGGGUUCGUUAUUGACGCGCUCUGCACCCACAUGAUUGAUGUGGCCGAUGAGUUUGGGGUGCCUUCCUAUCUCUUCUCCACUUCCAGCGCCGCUUCUCUUGGCUUCCUGUUGCAUCUUCAGUUCCUCCAUGACUAUGAGGGGUUGAAUCUUGAUGAGUUCAAGGACUCGGAUGCUGAGUUGCAGGUUCCGAGUUAUGCUAACUCGGUUCCAGGUAAGGUCUUCCCUCCUAUGAUUUUUUACAAGGAACUCGGUGGGGCUCCGGGGUAUAUGUAUCAUAUGAGGAGAUUAAGACAAGCCAAGGGUGUUAUGGUAAAUACAUUUAUUGAUCUUGAAUCACAUGCUAUUCAAUCAUUUUCUGGGAGUAAAAUACCGCCGGUGUAUCCCGUUGGACCCAUUCUCAACACCCAAAUGGGAUAUGGUGGGGAUCAACAAGAUGCUAGUGCCAUCAUGAGCUGGCUUGAUGAUCAGCCCCCAUCGUCAGUUGUUUUCCUUUGCUUCGGGAGCAUAGGAAGCUUUGGUGCGGAUCAGAUCAAGGAGAUAGCAUAUGGGUUAGAGCGCAGUGGGCAUCGCUUCUUGUGGUCCCUUCGCCAAGCUCCCCCAAACGGUAAAAUGGCAUUUCCAAGGGACUUUGAAAAUAUUGAGGAAGUUCUACCGGAAGGGUUUUUACCGCGGACGGCUGGAAUUGGAAAGAUGAUUGGAUGGGCUCCACAAGUAGCGGUUUUAGCUCACUCAGCUGUUGGAGGAUUUGUUUCUCAUUGUGGAUGGAAUUCUCUCCUAGAAAGCAUAUGGAAUGGUGUUCCAGUAGCCACAUGGCCAAUGUAUGCGGAACAACAAAUCAAUGCAUUUCAAAUGGUGAAAGAUUUAGGAUUAGCAGUAGAAAUUAAAAUUGAUUAUGAUAAGGAUAACAGCUAUAUUGUAAAUGCUCAUGAGAUUGAAAACGGAUUAAAGAAAUUGAUGAGCAUUAAUAGUGAAGUGAGGAAGAAAAUGAAUGAAAUGCAACAAAUAAGUAGAAGAGUUAUGAUAGAUGGUGGAUCCUCGCACUCUUCUUUAGGUCAUUUUAUUGAAAACGUAAUGACUAAUAUUCCAUAACCUAAUGUAUCGUAUCGUUAUUUUACCAUAUGUUUUUAUUUCAAUGCUGAUGUAAUUUCUUUGAUUUCGAAAUCUAUAAGAAAGUUUGUUCUCUUUUUAUCAUUUAAUGAAGAAAGUUUAAAAUGACAUAAAUUUAAUCAUAUGAAGAUCUCAGUUGUUAAUGAAUGCACAAUUGAUAAUCUUCCGGAGUUAAGUUAAUUAUAAAAUAACAAUAUAAUUUACAAUCAACAAAGUUAUUAAAAUUGUUUUAUUAAGGUCAAUAGUAAUAGUACCAUUGGGAAUUUGAUGGUCCAAUUUGAACUUGGACUCCUAAAAGUCUAUUUUAUUAUAGUAAGUACUAGAAUUUGUUCAAUUGGAUCACUAUUAAGGUUGGAAAGAGAAAUGUCAAGAUGAUCAUUAAUUUUGUAACAUACAUAAUUAAGUAAUAAUUAAUAGGAAAUUACUUUUUCAAGACCUAUUAAAUUAAAAUUAAAAUUCAAAAAAAAAAAAAGUUAGGUGAAUAAACAAAAUAAUAACUUUUAUAUAAAUAAAAAAAUUAUUAAAAAAAAUGAGGAGUUCACGUGCUUUCAAAAAUUCCAUGUAAUAAAAAUGCUUUUAACUUCAAAAUUUUAAUCUAUUGUUUUUUUGAAGGGAAAUUUGUCUUAUUUAUAUAAGAAUUUUUAGUAGUUUGUUAGUUUAAUUAUGUAGGACAUGGACCUUAAGCAAACUCUUCGGGUCAUAUUAUUUUAUUGUGUUUCCUUUUCAAAUAGGAGUUGACAUAAGUACCCUUCUCUACAUACACUAUGAAGUGAUCGGACUACCCUCAAUUGUCAUCAAAAUUUCAUGUAUUUACCUCAUGUAGCGUCCAAUUCUUCACAUCCUCAUAUGUGACAUUCGACAAGUUUUUCAACACCUACAUCAUACACUAUAACACCCCAAAUUAAUUUUUAAGGUUAGAAACACAAACUAGAAAUACAAUAAAUAAAUAAAUAAAUAAUUUUAGUAAGAGUAGAAAGUUCUUUUUGUAUUUAAAAACCCUAUAAAAUAUAUUUUUCUUGUCAUCUCUUUACAUAAACCCUUUGUGCAUAGAGAUAAGAGAAAUUAGGAAACGCGGGACUGAAGAUUUAGGGAUUUAGGGUUUGAAGAUCAGUUUUUUGGAUAAUAUUUUUAACCUUAAGAUUAGCAUUUUAUAUUCAUUAAUUAAUUUUGAAUAUUUUUUAAAAAAAAUUGAAAGAUCUCAAUAUAGAUUAGGGUUUGUUAUUUAAUUUUUUUUUAGAUAAAAAAGAUUGGAAAUUUAUGAACAUAGGUAGAUUUAUUGAUGAAGAAUAACAUGUCCCUAAUUUAGUACCAUAAGAAAGUCAGCUAUGAAGGACAUACUGUUCCUGUCACAAGUAAGUUAUUUACAUAGACAAGAAAGUAAAUGGUGACAUUGUUGCAAUUGUAAAUAAAAAGAGAGGGAUCUUUUUAAUGAGACAUGGGAGGCUUGCACUAUUUUCAUGGUACCGAAGCUCUCUCCAUGCCUCAAGGGUUACUGCUCACUCAUCAUAGAUAUAUAUGGGAUCUUCUCACUUGCACCAAACUAGAUGGUGCCAAGGAGGUUAUUAUACAACUCUCUACACCUACCUCCUUUACUCUUCAUGAUAGCUUGCCCAUUUCAUGCACUGUUCAACAGGUAAGUAUCUACUUCGCUAUCUUAAGCACACUAUCCAUCAUGGUCUUCUCCUUAAGUGUCAUCAACCUUUGGCUCUAACGACCUUUUUUUUAUGUUGACUAGGCUGGCAAGAGGGAUGACAGGACCUCUAUACUACACAUAUUGUCUACCUUGGUGGUAAAGUUAUCUCUUGGUGCUCUCGCAAGCAAAAGUUUGUUGUUCAAUCUUCCGUGGAGGUUGAAUAUCAUGUCCUUGCUUGCAUAGCAAUAGAAUUCCUUUGGCUCAAAUCUCUUUUGGGUGAACUUAGCCUUCAACUCUCUAAGACACCUAUUAUAAAUUGUGACAACUUUGGUGCUACCUACCUUUCUAUCAAUUUCAUUUUUCACUCAAAAAUGAAGCACAUUGCUAUCAACUUUCACUUUAUGCAUGAUCAUGUUAUCAAUGGGAAUCUCAUCGUAUCAUAUAUAUCUACUAAAGAUCAACUUGCAAAUGCUUUGACUAAGUCUUUGAGUUGACAACUCUUUCUUCAGCUUUGAGCAAAGAUUGGUGUCUUUUAUGGGAGCACCAUCUUGUAGUGGCAUAAUAGUGCAAAAUCCCAUCCUUACUAUCUUACAUAUUCACAUCCCAAUAUUCAAGCCUCACUAGCUCAGUCAAAAUCUCUAAAUGGAUGAAAUUCUGCAAUAAUCAAUGACUAAUUACAUGGGUCAAUUAUAAAUCAUUCAGGCAUAAUUUAUGGUAUCAUUUUUGUAAUUUUUUGUGCAUAAUAUUCUUACUAUGUAUUUAUAUAUAGUGUAUUGACUGUAAGUGAAUACAAGCUUUAUAAUAAGUAUUAUUUUUUUCUGUUAGCCCCAAAUGUAUGACUUUAUUGUUUGUUUUAUAUGAAAAUGACAGAAAUCUAGAACCACUCACUCUUGCCUCAAUCUUCAACAAAGGCCACAACAAAAGUAAAAGAAAAUAGAUUGAACCAUCUAAGCCAUGACAUCAGUUUCUCGACCUCCAAGACUGUUAGGCGUGUUAUGAAAAGUCGUUGUAAUGACUGCUAGUUAGUGAUGAAACAAACUGAGCUUGUCUUCAUCCCAUUUUCCAAUCAUUGGCCACCUUUCGCCUACAGAUUGCAAAGUUGCUUACUCAGUGAGACCCCCGAUUCUCAAUCACAAUCUUCAUCAUGAAGUUUCCGUUUGGAUCCAUUGAUAGUAUGACCACGGACUCUGAUUCCAUACGUUUUGUCACACUUCUCCCUAUAGAGAUCAACUCCGGAGCGAUGACGUUGUUCCCUUCAUUUCUAAAUUCCUCAAAGCUCAAAUAUUACUCGUCAGAGACGCAGUCCACUAGCUCACUCGCUCUAACUCGGUUCUGGUUGUUGGGUUCGUUAUUGACAUGCUUUGCACCCACAUGAUUGGAAAGGUGAUUGGGCUCCACAAGUAGCGAUUUUAGCCCACUAAGCUGUUGGAGGAUUUGUUUCUCAUUGUAGAUGGAAUUCUCUCCUACAAAGAAUAUGUUAUGGUGUUCAUGUAGCCACAUGACCAAUGUACGUGGAACAACAAAUCAACACAUUUCAAAUGGUGAAAGAUUUAAGGUUGGCAAUAGAAAUUAAAAUGUGUUAUAAUAAGGAUAACAUUGAUAUUGUAAGUGCUCGUGAGAUUGAAAACAGAUUAAAGAAUUUAAUGAGUAUUAGUAGUCAAGUGAGAAAGAAAAUGAAUGAAAUGCAACACAUAAGUAGAAGAGUUAUGAUAGAUGGUGGAUCCUCGCACUCUUCUUUAGGUCAUUUUAUUGAAAACAUGAUGACCAAUAUUUCAUAACCUAAUGUAUCAGAUUAUUACUUUAUUAUAUGCUUUAUUUCAAUGUUGAUGUAAUUUCUUUGAUUUCAAAAUUUAUAAAAAAAAGUUUGUUCUCUUUUUAUCAUUUAAUGAAGAAAGUUUAAAGGACAUAAAUUUAAUCAUAUGCAGAUCUCGAUUACUAACAAAUGUACAAUUAAUUAUCUUCAUGUAAGGAGUUAAAAUAAAUAAUAAAGUAAACAAUAUUAUUAAUAAUCAACAAAGCUAUUAAAAUUGUUUUAUUAAGGUGAUAGUAAUAAUACCAUUGGGAAUUAUCCGAUCCAAUUUGAGCUUGGACUCCUAAAAGUCCAUUUUAUUAUAGUGAGUACUAAAAUUUGUUCACUUGGGUCACUAUUAAUGUUGAAAAGAGAAAUAUCCAAAAUGAUCAUUAAUUGUCUAACAUACAUAAUUGUGAAACCAAGGUUUGGUUAAUCUUGAUUUUGAUGAUAACAAAAUAAGGUUUAAAACUAAUAAUCAUAUUUCAAGCGUGAUUAGGCAAGACGAUUUUCAAAGUGGCAAUCACAAAGACAAAUCAAGCCAAGGAGAAAUCAUGAAGAAGAAGACCACCUCAAAGAGAAGAGUUUUUCAAGACCCAAGCUUCAUAAGAUCUCUUUGUAAGGUUGUUGGUGCACUAGGAUUUUCAUACAUUUCAUUCUUUAUUUAUGCACCAAAAUCAUUCAAGAGUAAUAUUGUUUUAAAUAUCUUUAGAAUAGGAUGAUUUCAUGUUUUCAACUAAAACCUUGUGUUAAAUGAUUUUCAAACUUGUGUUAAAAGAUUUUAAGUUGAAAAAGGUUGGGUGUUGGACCAAAAAAUGGCUCAGCCGGUUCAACCAGUUGAGGAACCGGUCGACCGGUUGUGCUCGUCCGGUCGAGGGAGGCCAAAAAUUUUCUCUCUCUUCCAGUGGCCUUCUCUUCCCGGUCGAGGUGAUUCUCUUACUAGUCGAGGUCCGAUCGAGGACCGGUCGGGGUCCGGUUGAGGCCAAUGAUCACCUGCCAAGCAUUUAAUGCUAACGGCUAGUCAAUCGGUCGACCCUUAGCUUGACCAGUCGAACCCCCAAACGGCUAGUUUGGCUUUUCUCUUCUAUAAAAAUGCUCCAAUUUUCAUUGUUUAAAUAACUUAACAUUCCCAAAUCUUUCUUGAUUAUAUUUGAGUCUUGGAAGAGUAUUUUUUAGUGCACCAUUAUUUCAAAACUUGCAUAUCUUUAGUGCACCAUUCAAUCCUAGUUUUUAUUGUAUCAUUUGAGCUUAAAGUUCUUAUACUAGGAUUUUUGUGAGAUCUUUUAUUUGUAAAUCCUUGAGAGGAAGUUGUUCAAGAGUGGGAUAUCUCCUGAGAAGUGUAAAGGAUGCUUGGAGCCAAAAGUCCAAGAGGGUGAAUUGGAACCAUAAUCCAAUUGUAUUGCUUGAAGGCUUAGUUUGAAAGCCUUGGUUUAAUGGAACCUCAAACUUGGGAUUGAAGUUAAAGGAGAGUGGAUGUAGGCCGGGUUGCGUUGAACCACUAUAAACUCUUAUGUUUGCAUUUUUCUCUUCACUACUUUUUAAUUUAUAUGAAAUUGUCUAUAUAUUAAUUAUUAUAUAAUUGCAUAUAAUUUUUUUCUAUUUAUAUAAGAAUUUUUUAGUUUAAUUUUGUAGAACAUUAACCAUAAGCGAACUCUUCGAUUCAUAUUAUUUUAUUAUUUUUUCUUUUUUAUGUUUCCUUUUCAAAUAGGAGUUGACAUAAAUACCCUUCCCUACAUUGAACUACCCUUAAUUGUCAUGUAGUGUCCAAUUUUUCAUGUCCUCACAUGUGACAUUCGACGACCAUGUGGUGCUUCUAAUAUAUUCUCAAUAAUUCUUUAUAUCUCUAUGCAUGACAUUUGACAACUCCAAAGUAUGACAUGUGACGCUUCUAGUAUAUCCCUAAAUUAAUACUUAUAGCUUAGCUAAUGUAAUUUUUUUUUCUAGUCCAUUUGCAUAGUUUUGAGGUUAUCCAACUUUUCUAAUUAUUUUAAAUUAUUGGAAACUUAAUUAUUUUACUAAUGUUUUACUUUUUCUAAUUAUUUUAAAUUCAAUUGGUUUUUUAAUUGUUUUAUUUGUUUUACUAAGGUUUUACUUUCUCCAAUUAUUUAUAAUUUAAUUGAAUUUUUAAUUGUUUAAUUUAUUUAUUUUCAAAAAUUGAAAAAAAAAAAAGUAUCUAAAAAUCCAAGAUGUUACACAAUCAAUGUAGAGAAAAAGAAAAAGUAAAAGAAAUUUUAUAUAAUUCCAAAUAACAUAUCUUUUUUUUUUUCACAAAAAUCAAUACUAAUUCCCCUAACCUCAAAGAAACGCACAAUUUUUUUGAAAAAUUUAUUGUUAAAGAACUUAAUCAUCAUCUAACAUAAUAUAAAAAAUAAAUAAAUAAUCAUUACUAUUAAUUAUUUAGCUAAAAUUAUAAUUUGAUAUUCCUGAAAAUUGUAUAUAUCAUUAUUAUUAUUAUUAUUCCUCAUUAUAUUAAUUUAAUUAAUCUAUUCUUAAAUUUAGGUUGAGUUAGUAAAUUUCCCAUUUACCUAAAAUUACUAACCUCAAAACUUGAUGCUAUAAAUAUACCAAUUUGAUUUUAUUAAACCAAGAUUUUAUUUUAUUUAUUUAUUUAAAACUAAACAUUUUAUUAUACCAUCUCAUUACUCUUUUUUUUUUUUUUUUACUAAAACCUCAUUGAUGGCAUUAAAUUCUUCACCAGAAUUCAAACAUCACUAUAACUUUCUUUUAUUAUUUUAUCAUACCAUCCCAUUACUCCUCCUAUAUCUUGCUGGAAUGGAUCUUCGUUUGCAGCAUCAAAUUCUCCACUAGCAUUCAAACAUCACUGCGACACCUACAUCAUACACUGUAACAGCUCGAAUUAAUUUCCGAGGUUAUAAUGGUAAAUUAGAAAUACAAAAAAAUGAAAUAACUUUAAUAAGAGUAGAAACUUUUUUUGUAUUUAAAAACCCUAUAAAUUUCAUUUUUCUUCUCUUCUCUUUACAUAAACCCUUUUUGUAUAGAGAUAAAGGGGAAUUAGAGAACAAAGGCUUGAAGAUCAAUUUUUUAAACAAGAUUACUAACCUUGAGAUUAGUAUUUUAUAUUUAUUAAUUAGUUUUAGACAUUUAAAAUUUUUUUUGAAAGAUCUCGAUAUAGAUUAAGGUUUGUUAUUUAAAUUUUUUUUAGAUAAAAAAAAUUACAAAUAUAUGAACAUAAGUAGAUUUAUUAAUGAAAAACAACACGUCUCUAAUUUAGCACCUUAAGAAAGUUAGCUAUGAAGGAUAUGUUGUUCAAUCACAAGUCAUCCAUAUAGACAAAAAAGUAAAUAUGACAUUGUUGUUGCAAUUGUAACUAAAAAGAGAUGGAUUUUCUUAAUAAAAGACAAUGAAGACUUGCAUCAUUUUUUUGGCAUCGAAGUUAUCUCUAUGCCUCAAGGGUUACUACUCACUCAUCAUAGAUAUGUACGGGUGUAGAUCCUAAAAUUUGUUUUAAUUUUAUUUUUAUAUUAAUUUUGAUCAUAAUUUUAUUCUUAAAUUUUAAAUCUCGAAUACAUAUGAUAUUUUUGACCCAUGCACUAUUUAAUUCUUAAUUUUUAUUAUUAUUAUGUUUUUCUUUCUUUUUCUUUUUUUCUUUCUUUUCUCUCUCCUCUCUCCUCCACCUACCGCCCAUACACGUGGAGUAUAGAAUUUCAUGGGAGAAAGUGAAACUCGAAAAGCUGUAAAUAGAGCAUCGAACUUGUUGUAAGCUUAUUUAGGUACACAUUUUAUUACCUUAUUUUAUUUUAUUGGUUUUUAUAAAUAUUUAUUUGUAUAUAUUUAUUAAGUGUGUACAGAAUUGAAUAUCAAAUAAAUCAAAAAUUUUGUUUAAAUAAAAUGAAUAAUUCAGUAAACAUAUUUUAAUAAAAUAAUAAUUUUAAAAUAUUCUUCUUAAUAAAAGAAAGUUUUUUAUUAAUAAAAAUUCAUAAAAACGCUUUUAGAAAAAUCCAAAAAAAAAUGUUUUAAUAGAAUUUGAAAUUUUUUUUUUAAUAAUGAUUGUCCCAAAAUUACUUUGUUUAAUAAAAAUUGUCCAAAAAUUGUUUUAUAAAUAAAGUUGUCCCAAAAAUUAAUUUUUAAUUAAAAAUUAUUUUGCAAAUAAAGGUUUUUUUUUUUUUUUUAAUAAUUUGUAUAAGUCACUUUGGUGGUAAUGUUAUCUCUUGGUUCGCAAGCAAAUGUCUGUUGCUCAAUCUUCCACGGAGUUUGUAUAUCAGGCCCUUGCUUGCACAGUUGCCGAAGUCCUUUGGUUCAAAUCUCUUUUGGGUGAACUUAGCCUUCAACUCCCUAAGACACUUAUUAUAAAUUGUGAUAACAUUCAUGCUACCUACCUUUCUAUCAAUUUCUUUUCACUCAAAAAUGAAAUACAUUGCUAUCAAUUUUCACUUUGUGUGUGAUCAUGUUGUCAAUGAAAAUCUCAUCAUGCCAUAUAUCUCUACCAAAGAUCAACUUGCAAAUGCUUUAACUAAACCUUUGAGUCGACAACUCUUUCUUCGGAUUCAAUCCAAGAUUGGUGUCUCGAAUGGGAGCGCCAUCUUGCAGUGGUGUAAUAGUAUAUAAUCUAGUUCCUGCAAUCUUACAGCUUCACAUCCUGAUAUUCAAGCCUCACAAACUCAACCAAAAUCUCUAAAUGGAUGAAAUUUUUGUUGUAAUCAAUGACUAAUUACAUGGGUCAACUAUAAAUCAUUCGGCCAUAAUUUAUGGUAUCAUUUUUGUAAUUUUCUGUGCAUAAUAUUCACUCUGUAUUUAUAUAAUGUCUUGACCGUAAAUGAACACAAGCUUUCUCAUCAGUGUUAAUUUCUUUUUCUGUUAGCCCCAAAUAUUGUUUGUUUUAUAUGAAAAUGACAGAAAUCUAGAAGCACUGACUCUUGCCUCAAUUUUCAACAAAGGCCGACACAAAUCUUACAGAUACGACGAGUAAAAGAAAAUAGAUUGAAACAGCUAAGCGGUGACAUCAGUUUCUCGGCCCCCAAGACUAAUCAGGCUGGUUAUGAAAAGUCGUUUAUAACCCAUUCAGCCACAAGUAUAAGUGUCACACCACCGCAAAGCCCUCAAAACAUCCAAUAUUUCUCUCUUUGCAGUGACUGCUAAGUUAGUGAUGAAACAAACUGAGCUUGUCUUCAUCCCACUUCCGAUCAUUGGCCACCUUUCGCCUACAGUGGAGAUGGCAAAGCUGCUUACUCAGCGAGACCCCCGAUUCUCAAUCACGAUCUUCAUCAUGAAGUUUCCGUUUGGGUCCAUUGAUAGUAUGACCACGGACUCUGAUUCCAUACGUUUAGUCACACUUCCUCCUGUUGAGAUCAGCUCCGGAGCGACGACGCCUGGUCCCUUCAUCUCUGAAUUCAUCAAAACUCAGACACUACUCGUCAGAGACGCAGUCCACGAGCUCACUCGCUCCAACUCGGUUCGGCUCGCUGGGUUCGUUAUUGACGUAUUGUGCACCCACAUGAUUGAUGUGGCCGAUGAGUUUGGGGUGCCUUCCUAUCUCUUCUCCACUUCCAGCGCCGCUUCUCUUGGCUUCCUGUUGCAUCUUCAGUUCCUCCAUGACUAUGAGGGCUUGAAUCUUGAUGAGUUCAAGGACUCGGAUGCUGAGUUGCAGGUUCCGAGUUAUGCUAACUCGGUUCCAGGUAAGGUCUUCCCUCCUAUGAUUUUUGACAAGGGAGUCGAUGGCGCUGCAGGGCAUGUGUAUCAUAUGAGAAGAUUAAGACAAGCCAAGGGUGUUUUGGUAAAUACAUUUAUUGAUCUUGAAUCACACGCUAUUCAAUCAUUUUCUGGGAGUAAAAUACCGCCGGUGUAUCCCGUUGGACCCAUUCUCAACACCCAAAUGGGAUAUGGUGGGGAUCAACAAGAUGCUAGUGCCAUCAUGAGCUGGCUUGAUGAUCAGCCUCCAUCGUCAGUUGUUUUCCUUUGCUUCGGGAGCAUAGGAAGCUUUGGUGCGGAUCAGAUCAAGGAGAUAGCAUAUGGGUUAGAGCGCAGUGGGCAUCGCUUCUUGUGGUCCCUUCGCCAACCUCCCCCAAAGGGUAAAAUGGCAUUUCCGAGAGACUAUGAAAAUAUUGAGGAAGUUCUACCAGAAGGGUUUUUACAUCGGACGGCUAGAGUUGGAAGGAUAAUUGGAUGGGCUCCACAAGUAGCGGUUUUAGCCCACACAGCUGUUGGAGGAUUUGUUUCUCACUGUGGAUGGAAUUCUCUCCUCGAAAGCAUAUGGUACGGUGUUCCAGUAGCCACAUGGCCAAUGUAUGCGGAACAACAAAUCAAUGCAUUUCAAAUGGUGAAAGAUUUAGGAUUAGCAGUAGAAAUUAAAAUUGAUUAUGAUAAGGACAACAACUAUAUUGUAAAUGCUUAUGAGAUUGAAAACGGAUUAAAGAAAUUGAUGAGCAUUAAUAGUGAAGUGAGGAAGAAAAUGAAUGAAAUGCAACAAAUAAGUAGAAAAGUUAUGAUAGAUGGUGGAUCCUCGCACUCUUCUUUAGGUCAUUUUAUUGAAAAUAUGAUGGCCAAUAUUCC